UCAAGCUACUAAGGGCAUACGGCGGAUGCCUAGGCGCCAUCAGCCGAUGAAGGACGCGGUAAGCUGCGAAAAGCUACGGGGAACUGCAAGCAAGUAUUGAUCCGUAGAUGUCCGAAUGGGGAAACCCACCUGCCGUCAUGGGCAGGUAUCCGAAAGGAAGGGAACCCGGGGAACUGAAACAUCUAAGUACCCGGAGGAAGAGAAAUCAAACGAGAUGCCCACAGUAGCGGCGAGCGAAGAGGGCAGAGGGCAAACCGGGGAGCUACGGCUCUCCGGGGUUGAGGACUGCAUUUAGUCUUAAUGGUCUAUCCGAACUACCUGGAAAGGUAGGCAACACAGUGUAAAAGCCACGUAGGUUAAAGGCCAGAGAGAUGAGCAGUAUCCAGAGUACCACGAGGCACGAGGAAUCUUGUGGGAAGCCGGGGGGACCACCCUCCAACCCUAAACACUGAAUGGCGACCGAUAGCGCAUAGUACCGUGAGGGAAAGGUGAAAAGAACCCCGGGAGGGGAGUGAAAGAGAACCUGAAACCGUAUGUCUACAAGCAGUCGGAGCGAAAGCGACGGCGUGCCUAUUGAAGAAUGAACCAACGAGUUACGUGCACUAGCGAGGUUAAGUGGAAGACACGGAGCCGAAGCGAAAGCGAGUCUUAAGAGGGCGGAUAGUUAGUGUACGUAGACCCGAAACCGCAGUGAUCUACCCAUGUCCAGGUUGAAGCGCAGGUAAAAUUGCGUGGAGGACCGAACCUGUGAGCGUUGAAAAGCUUUAGGAUGAGAUGUGGGUAGAGGUGAAAUUCCAAUCGAACGCGGAGAUAGCUGGUUCUCCCCGAAAUAGCUUUAGGGCUAGCCUCAAGUAGUAAGUAUAGGCGGUAGAGCACUGAUCGGGCUAGGGGCCAUAAAGGUUACCGAACCCUGUCAAACUCCGAAUGGUUAUACUGUAGAGCUUGGGAGUCAGACUACGAGUGAUAAGAUCCGUGGUCAAAAGGGAAACAGCCCAGACCACCAGCUAAGGUCCCCAAUGUCGUACUAAGUGGAAAAGGAUGUGGGGUCUCUAAAACAACCAGGAUGUUGGCUUAGAAGCAGCCACCAUUUAAAGAGUGCGUAAUAGCUCACUGGUCGAGAGACCCUGCGCCGAAGAUUACCGGGGCUAAAGUACGAAACCGAAGCUGUGGCUACGACGUAAGUCGUGGGGUAGGGGAGCGUUCUGUGAGGGCUGAAGUCGUUCUGUAAGGAACGGUGGACUUCACAGAAGUGAGAAUGUUGGUAUGAGUAGCGAAAAGAAUGGUGAGAAUCCAUUCCACCGAAAGCAUAAGGAUUCCUGGGCAACGAUCGUCGUCCCAGGGUAAGUCGGGACCUAAUCCGAGGCAUGGAGCGUAGGAGAUGGACAACUGGCAGAUAUUCCAGUACCGGUAAUGAUUGUUUGAGCGAUGGAGUGACACAGGAGGGCAGGCAGGCAGGAGAUUGGUUGUUCCUGUACAAGCGUGUAGGAUGGGACGUAGGCAAAUCCGCGUCCUGUGAGUCUGAGGCGUGAUGUGGAGGUUCCGGAAACGGAACUGAAGCUGCUGACCCCACACUGUCGAGAAAAGCUUCUAGUUAGAGAAUUACCGCCCGUACCGUAAACCGACACAGGUAUGCGGGGAGAGAAUCCUAAGGUGCGCGGGAGAACCCUCGUUAAGGAACUCGGCAAAAUGUACCCGUAACUUCGGGAUAAGGGUAGCCGCUGUUGUGAAGUCUGAACAGACGGAGCAUGAGGCGGUCGCAGAGAAGAGGCCCAAGCGACUGUUUACCACAAACACAGGUGCCUGCUAAAGAGAAAUCUGACGUAUAGGUGCUGACACCUGCCCAGUGCCGGAAGGUUAAGGAAGGAUGUCCGGAGCAAUCCAAAGCAUUCGACCGAAGCCCCGGUGAACGGCGGCCGUAACUAUAACGGUCCUAAGGUAGCGAAAUUCCUUGUCGGGUAAGUUCCGACCCGCACGAAAGGUGUAACGAUUUGGGCACUGUCUCAACGAGGGACCCGGUGAAAUUGAAGUACCUGUGAAGAUGCAGGUUACCCGCGACUGGACAGAAAGACCCCAUGGAGCUUUACUGUAACCUGACAUUGGGUUCUGAUACAUCACGUACAGGAUAGGUGGGAGGCAUGGAAGCGAGGACGCUAGUCUUCGUGGAGCCGCCGUUGGGAUACCACCCUUGAUGUAUCGGAAUUCUAACCGUAGGAGUAACGAAACUCGGGACAGUGUCAGGCGGGCAGUUUGACUGGGGCGGUCGCCUC
rnacentral:rRNA from 1 species